ACAUCGGCCCUUUUCAGGGCCAACAUAUGUUUAAAACGUGGAAGUCU
rfam:Lasius niger Lnig_2.1_3627, whole genome shotgun sequence.